rnacentral:rRNA from 1 species
AACGAACGCUGGCGGCAGGCCUAACACAUGCAAGUCGAACGCUCGUAGCAAUACGGGAGUGGCAGACGGGUGAGUAACACGUGGGAACCUUCCCUAUGGUUCGGAAUAGCUCAGGGAAACUUGGGGUAAUACCGGAUAAGCCCUUCGGGGAAAGGAUUAUCGCCAUUGGAUGGGCCCGCGUCGGAUUAGCUAGUUGGUGAGGUAACGGCUCACCAAGGCAACGAUCCGUAGCUGGUCUGAGAGGAUGAUCAGCCACACUGGGACUGAGACACGGCCCAGACUCCUACGGGAGGCAGCAGUGGGGAAUAUUGGACAAUGGGCGCAAGCCUGAUCCAGCCAUGCCGCGUGAGUGACGAAGGUCUUCGGAUUGUAAAACUCUUUUGGCGGGGACGAUAAUGACGGUACCCG